AUUGAACGCUGGCGGCAUGCUUUACACAUGCAAGUCGAACGGCAGCGCGGGCUUCGGCCUGGCGGCGAGUGGCGAACGGGUGAGUAAUACAUCGGAACGUGCCCAGUAGUGGGGGAUAGCUCGGCGAAAGCCGGAUUAAUACCGCAUACGACCUGAGGGUGAAAGCGGGGGAUCUUCGGACCUCGCGCUAUUGGAGCGGCCGAUGGCAGAUUAGCUAGUUGGUGGGGUAAAGCCUACCAAGGCGACGAUCUGUAGCUGGUCUGAGAGGACGACCAGCCACACUGGGACUGAGACACGGCCCAGACUCCUACGGGAGGCAGCAGUGGGGAAUUUUGGACAAUGGGCGAAAGCCUGAUCCAGCAAUGCCGCGUGUGUGAUGAAGGCCUUCGGGUUGUAAAGCACUUUUGGCGGGAACGAAAAGGACUGUGCCAAUACCACGGUUCGAUGACGGUACCCGCAGAAUAAGCACCGGCUAACUACGUG
rnacentral:rRNA from 1 species